rnacentral:misc_RNA from 1 species
UUUCUUUUCCUUCGUCUCCAGCCACGGCCAGGUUCAGUGUGCGAUUUGUUGUGGUCCUUGGCGAGGCGGUGACGGGCGGUGCCGGGUGCUUCUGGUGUGACCACGAGGCGAGUCAUUUUGCCCAACCUUUCCGGUUCUGAUGGUUAUCGACCCUGUGGCAGUCGGCGACGCUUAUUUUACGUCGCCAGAAAUCGUGGGGAGCUGUGUGAGCUUAACCACGUGGUGCAAGGUGGUGCUACGGGCGGUACCAACUACCACGUAGUGCUUCGGAGCAUGAUCGGCUAAGUGACAUUUAGUAACCUCCAACCUUGUGCUAGGAAUAAUUCGAACCUUUUAUAAGCUAGUGCUAUAGUUUUUUAAUUACGUUUUAUUUUAAAAUUUAGACAAGUUCGUGUGUUCCUAAUUUUAAUUUUAGUAUUAAAAAAUUGUUAUCUUAUUUAAAUUCCAAGAGUGUGCAAGACAGUUUUUUUUAUUUGCGAGCAAAUAAUAUUAUUUUCUAACUAAAAUCGUCUGGUUAAAAAAAAACACUAAACGAAAGAAAAAGUUUGUUUCAAAUUGUUGAUUUUACUAAUAAUUGAAUAGUGAAGAAAAUAUAAGAAUAUUACAGUAAGAAAAUCUGAUUUUUUUUAUUCUUCCUCAUAUGUGACGAGCACUCUAAUAAUGUCCUGUCCAUUUGAUUAUUUGUAUAGUUAUCAUGCGCGGGCAUUUUUUAUAUUAUCAUAUUAUUCACUUAGUCUAUAACUGUUAGUGUAUAAAUCUUCUAAUAGAUGGCGCUGAUGGCAAUUUAAAUCGCGCUUAAACUAUUUCUUUUCGAUUGCACGUAGUUUAAAAGUUGAUUUGAAUAAAUUAGUACGGUUCGGUAAUAUUA